AUAUAAAGUUACAAAAAGAAGCAUUCAGUACUUAUAAUUACAUUUUUUAGCUAUGAUCAUGUAAACACGACUUUUAUAUAUUUUUUUUUAUUUAAUUCACCUGUGCACUUUAUUGUUGGACCACGUGUUAUCAUGAAUGAAAAGUUGUAUUGAUCAAUGCAACUGCUUACGGAAUAACACGUGAUGUGCAGUUAGCCAAUCAGAAUAAAGUAUUAUAAUGAAACAUACAUCUAAUGUAAUU
rnacentral:lncRNA from 1 species